UACGUAGGGUGCAAGCGUUGUCCGGAAUUAUUGGGCGUAAAGAGCUCGUAGGCGGUCUGUCGCGUCGGAUGUGAAAAUCCAGGGCUCAACCCUGGACCUGCAUUCGAUACGGGCAGACUAGCGUUCGGUAGGGGAGACUGGAAUUCCCGGUGUAGUGGUGAAAUGCGUAGAUAUCGGGAGGAAUACCAGUGGCGAAGGCGGCUUCCUGGCCUGUUCUUGACGCUGAGGCGCGAAAGCUAGGGUAGCAAACGGG
rnacentral:rRNA from 1 species